rnacentral:hammerhead_ribozyme from 1 species
AUCCGUCUGACGAGUCCUAAAUAGGACGAAACGCGCGUCCUGGAU